CCUACGGGAGGCAGCAGUGAGGAAUAUUGGUCAAUGGGCGCGAGCCUGAACCAGCCAAGUAGCGUGAAGGAAGACGGCCCUAUGUGUUGUAAACUUCUUUUGUCGGGGGACAAACUGGGACACGCGUGGCUGAUUGCGUGUACCCCAUGAAUAAGCACCGGCUAAUUCCGUGCCAGCAGCCGCGGUAAUACGGAAGGUCCGGGCGUUAUCCGGAUUUAUUGGGUUUAAAGGGUGCGCAGGCCGGACGUUAAGCGUGCCGGGAAAUGGCGGGGCGCAACCCUGGCCCUGCGGCGCGAACUGGGGUGCUAGAGUUGGAGGGAGGUAGGCGGAAUUCGUGGUGUAGCGGUGAAAUGCAUAGAUAUCACGAAGAACUCCGAUUGCGAAGGCAGCCUACCGUAUCGAUACUGACGCUGAGGCUCGAAAGCGUGGGGAUCGAACAGGAUUAGAUACCCUAGUAGUC
rnacentral:rRNA from 1 species